AACUCAAAGGAAUGACGGGNACCCGNACAAGCGGUGGAUGAUGUGGUUUAAUUCGAUGCAACGCGUAAAACCUUACCCACCUUUGACAUGUACGGAAGUUACCAGAGAUGGUUUCGUGCUCGAAAGAGAACCGUAACACAGGUGCUGCAUGGCUGUCGUCAGCUCGUGUCGUGAGAUGUUGGGUUAAGUCCCGCAACGAGCGCAACCCUUGUCAUUAGUUGCUACAUUUAGUUGGGCACUCUAAUGAGACUGCCGGUGACAAACCGGAGGAAGGUGGGGAUGACGUCAAGUCCUCAUGGCCCUUAUAGGUGGGGCUACACACGUCAUACAAUGGCUGGUACAAAGGGUUGCCAACCCGCGAGGGGGAGCUAAUCCCAUAAAACCAGUCGUAGUCCGGAUCGCAGUCUGCAACUCGACUGCGUGAAGUCGGAAUCGCUAGUAAUCGUGGAUCAGAAUGUCACGGUGAAUACGUUCCCGGGUCUUGUACACACCGCCCGUCACACCAUGGGAGCGGGUUCUGCCAGAAGUAGUUAGCCUAACCGUAAGGAGGGCGAUUACCACGGCAGGGUUCGUGACUGGGGUGAAGUCGUAACAAGGUAACCGUA
rnacentral:rRNA from 1 species